rnacentral:rRNA from 1 species
UUUGACCUCAAAUCAGGUAGGACUACCCGCUGAACUUAAGCAUAUCAAUAAGCGGAGGAAAAGAAACUAACAAGGAUUCCCCUAGUAACUGCGAGUGAAGCGGGAAAAGCUCAAAUUUGAAAUCUGGCAGUCUUUUUUUUCUUCUUUGGCUGUCCGAGUUGUAAUCUAGAGAAGUGCUUACCUGCGCUGGACC